ensembl:lncRNA
UCACUGGUGAUGGGCUAGGCACGUCCAAUAAUAAACGAGACUCAGGGAAUCAGAGAAUCACAGGAUUGGAAGGGACUUUAAGAAUGAUGAUCAAAUUCAUCCCUCACUCAAGCCUUUAAUCUCCCUUUCAACAUCUCUGGCAAAGGCUCUACACUGUGUGUUAAAAAAAUUCCCUGGUAUGGGACAUGCAAGGAAGACAUCCCAUUCCAAUUUAGGACCAAUCUAAUUUUUAGACACUGCUUUCAUGUGUUAAACCCAAGUAGGCUUCUUGGUGGAAAGGAGAUAAUGCUUAAAGGCAAAAAUACAAACCACAACCCUGGAGGGUUGACAUGUGGUUCUUGGUUAAGAAACUGAGCUGAAGUUUAAACAGGAAUGCAGAUGUUUCUGGACUCAGUUUUGGACUGAGUAGAUCUUUGAGUCCUACAAGGAAAAGGCAAAUGAUGUGACAGCAAAGACAGGCGCUGCCAUGCCCCUGCACGGUGUUCCUGCCUCCACAGGGCCAGGUCUCCCAGAGAGACCUGUACCUGAAUUGAUGAAACUCUCUGCCUUCCCCUUGCAAGUGCCCCUGUAAGGAGGACCUCCCACAUUGUACUGGAAUCAUCUGUGACUUGCAAGAGCAGGAAGUGGAGGGCAGCAGCUGCCUGUGUCUGCACCCAAACAGUCGGCACCGCCUGUCUGUGCAACGCCACACUUGACUAGAACAAUCCCCUCCUGCCGCAGGGCCAGGGCUUUCCUUUUCCACAGUGGAGCAGCUGAGCCCAGCACACCUUUGGCGUUAGUCUGUGAGUCCUUCCUGGUUGUGGGCCGUCCACUAAUAGUCUCCACCUCCUCCUCUCAGACUCCAGUGAGAGGCUGUGCACCCAAAGAUCCAGAAUUAGUUACCCUGGGUCACCUUCAGUUAACAGUUCUAGGGAUUUCCAAAGAAAAAGAAACUGAUACUAUUAUAAUAUAAACUAAUAGUAGCAUUGGCUGCAGGAGGAGCCUCUGGGGAAACCCCUGGCGGUGAGCUGUGUGCUGCUUUCCUCUGAGGCCAGGGAGCAGCAGCAUCUGAGAGUGACGAGCUCAGUUCCGGGAUGGCAGCUGAGCCACUUGGCUGUUCUCCGGCAGCUCCAGCCCACUUGUGAUCCCUGGACACACCACACUGACUCCAGCUCUCAGGCCUUUGUUUAUGCUGUUUCUGAAGCCUGGAAAGUCAUUUCCAUUUUUCCCCCUUAUGACUCACUCCUCGUCCUUUAACACUGAGCUCAAAGUCCCUUUCCUCUGUGAAGCCCCUCCUGCCACACCUGCUGGAUUAGUGGCACCCUGGCAUGCCUCUAUCAUGACCACAUUGCACUGAAAAGACCCAUUUACUCACUGUGUGACCUCUGCCCAGCCUGAGGAUGGGCCUCAGACACCUUGCACUGCCAGUACCUAAAGCCUGGUGGCUGGUGAGCGCUCAACACGGUUGACAUGGACAUUCAAAUCUCAGGGAUCAUCUAGAUAACUCAGUGUUCAACAUGAACUUAAUUUCUGUGUUUUCCAGUCAAGUUAAUAUCUGUGUUUGUACCAGGAAAAAUUCAAUAUUUGAAAGGAGAAAAAAUAAGAAUGUAUUGGUAAAAUGCUUUCUUUCACUUCCAAAUAUCUUAGUGAACAAGAACACUGACACAGAAUUAAAAUUCUACGAACAGCCAUAACCAAAGGAAUCUCAUUUAGUGAAUAUUUAUGUCCAGUAACUGCAACCCACACUUAGAGCUAUCCUUUUGCUUAAAAACAAAAAUUUUGGCCUUAAGAAGUGAUUAAUAUCAGGCAAAAAUAAAUUAUACUUUUAUUUAUUUAUUCAGGGCCUUGCUCUGCUGCCCAGGCUAGACUGCAGUGGUGCAAUCAUAGCUCACUGCAUCCUUGUAUUCCUGGGCUCGAGUGAUCCUCCUGCCUCAGCUUCCUGAGUAGCUGGGAAUACAGGUGUGUGUCACCACACCCAACUAAGUUUUGAAUUUUUGGUAGCGACAGGAUCUUGCUGUGUUGCCCAGACUGGUCUUGAACUCCUGGGCUCAGCAAUCCUCCCACCUUGUCCUCCCAAAGUGUUCAGAUUCUAGGUGUGGGCCAUGGCACCUGGCCUAUACUCUUAUAAAAUGAAUCUCAGAAAAUGAAAAUGUGAUAUUCCAUAAGGGCAGUGCUGUAAGCCUGGGAAUUGCAGCCAAAUGGGGCAGGGGGAAUUUUAAGUGCCGCUGGAUUUCCAUUUCAGUUUUGCCUCUGGGGUGGUCUGAGGGGAAUGUAUAGGAAGGAAUUUAUGUGGAUGAAGGCAAUAAUUACCUCCCCCACCACAGGGCUGGAGCCAAAAAAAGUGUCACAUAUGCUUUCGAUAAGAGGAACAAAGCUGGUUCCAGAGAGCGCCCUGUCUCAAGGUGCUGAAAGUCUCUCCUCCCACUCAUGCCGUUACUAAGUAAUGUUCAAAAACAGCUAUUCCUUGAACAUUCUUUUAGAUUCUCUUGUUUACAUCUCAGCCAUAUCUAACUGCCCCGUAUAACUAAUGUGUUUUCUGCUUGGAACACUCUAGAUCUCUGAAGAUCCCUUCCAGUUUUGUGACUUUAUGAUUUCUGGAAUAAUUAAAACAACCAAAUAAGAAACACGUUAUGGUGGAUUGACCUCAUACAAAAUGACAUAAGAUUCCAAAUGCUUAAUCUCAAACCAUUUUGCUAUUGUGAAGACACAUUCAGGCAGUAAUGUCAAGUAAUGUCAUUCGUUUGGAGGAACCAAGAGCAUGUGGUUGGUUUUGCCCCAUCAGGUAGAGAACAACUCUGUGUAUGAUAUGUGUAGAUCUGCCACUUUCUCAGCGCAGGCAUGUUAGGCAUUAUUUGUAAGAGCUGCUAUAUGUUUAAGUAAUAAGAGCAAAAAUAUAUGUAAAGUGCAAAUCCAACAGGGUAAAACAAGAAUUAUGAGAGUUCACCUAGACAGAACAAGAGCCAAGUGCUGGCGCCAGCUUUUACUCCUAAGGAAUGGAGCCUCCAUUUCCAUAAAAUGCUUGGAAGACACCCAACACCAGCACAUAUUUCUCUACAAAUUACAAAAAUGGGGGAGACACUUAAUGCAAAACUCAAGAAUUCACAGUAUUACAAACACACAGUUGGUUUGCUAAACGCAUUUCACCAAAUUCAAGCACCCACACAGAUAAGAGAAAAGGAAAUAGCAAUGGAUACCUUGAAUAUCUGUGCUUUUCUGAUCAUGAUUCUCAACACCAGUGGGAUGUGAAGUGGCUUCAGCCUCUGAGUGGCUCUGUGGGCUGGGAGGGAGAAGGCAGAGUGGCAUGCAAGGUCACAGGCCAGAGCGACUAUAGAGGACAUAUGUGAUCACACGGGGACAACUCUGCUUCCCGAAUGAUGUCUGAAUGCAUCUAGACCCAUCUCAGAACCCAUACAGGCUUGCUGGGUGCUUGGGCCUUUGCUGCCCUAAUACUGUGUUCCUCUCUCUGUAGGCAGGCCAAGCUCAAAGUUUAGGAAGGGAAAAUGGAGUGAUUCAGCUCUAUUACUCAUUUCCAACACACAGUCCUAUAUUACAUACACCUUAGUAAGUGGCUGCAGCUUCUAGUAAUAAACUACAAAAUAGAUAUUUGAAUAUUUUAAAUUUAAUUCCCUUGUUAAACCUCUCUCACAGAGUAAUCAUGCAGAAAAGACUCAAAGUAGUUAUAACAGUUUUGACUGACGCAAGCAAGGGUAUUCUGGACCAGGGCAGCGAGGCAACAAGUGCUAACAGCCUGUGCGGGGCAUGCGUGUGUGCCUCUUCAGAGCUCCAGUCACAUGGGCUGAGCCGGUCUGAUGGCUCAGGUGACAGCUUCCAUGUACCGUGGCUGCAUGGGACACAGGCACUGGUCCUGCUUCCCAAUGCUGGGGCAGCAGAAUCACCUCUAGCAAGGCCCCAUCCCUGGGAAGCACACGUAGGGGCAGUACCCGAGGACAGCUUGUAGUACUUCCCCCUAGUUAAAGAAGUAAUGAAUGAUUGUGAGGGCAAAAAACAGCUUUCCAGGAAAAGAGGGAAAAUAAUAGGGAGGAUUUCAAUUUCACUCCCAUGUGUAUUACCACCAAAAAACCUGUAAAAUCAGAAGACAGCAAGACACUGUGGGGUGGGGCUUGGGUCGGGAAGGACAAGCAAUUGGCCUGUGAUCCUCAAGAGACUGGUGAGCUCCCUGAUGCUCCCGACACAUGAGGUUGAAUGAGCUGUGCGUGUAAAGUGCUUAGGAGGGGCAGGCACCUGGCGCAGGCUUGCCAUUAAUUUUUAUUCUAUUUUUACAGGUGAAAAUAAGAUUUUUAAAAGGGACUUUAAUAUCCUGAGUUGAAUCACUACACACAAGAAUAUUUCAUUUUCUCAAGCUUGAUUGGAUUCCCUUAGAAAUAAGAACUCUUCAGGUUCACUUUCUAAAGUCCUCUUUUCCAUUUC